rnacentral:tRNA from 1 species
UGGCUCAGUUGGUAGAGCAUGGUGUUUGCAACGCCAGGGUUGUGGAUUCGAUUUCCAC